CAAUUCCCUUCCAAUUUAGUCAGGGGGCCUAUAUGGUUUCUGUGGGUUUGAAAUGUUAAUUUUUGGAGAGUGGUUGGACUGUCUUUAGAGGUCAUUGAACAUGGA